UAAUGAGAUCAUCUGCACACUCCACAGAGCUCCAGAGUUACUGUUCAUAGCAAAAGUGUAAUGCUGCCCUGUGUGCCCACAGAUGACUAUCGGAGCAGGCUGUCAUCCAAACAAGGUGAAGGUCUCUGACCCUGGAGUGGCAAAGACGGGCCUCCAAGCCUUCCAGCCAACAUACUUCACUGAAGGUGGGCUCGGCUGCAGAUAUUCCACUGGACAUAGGAGAGCGUGACCUCAGCCAGCUGACAGCCUCUCUUACAACACCCUCAGGCCCAGAGGAGCCCUGCCUGCUGAAGAUGCUGCGUAACGCUCACAUCGGAAUCUCCUUUGCUCCCAAGGAGAUUGGUGAGCACCUUGUUAACAUCAAGAAGAACGGCCGUCAUGUUCCCAGCAGCCCAAUUGCUGUUAUGAUCAAGCAGUCAGGGAUUGGUGAUGUGAGCCGUGUGCGUGUGAGCGGACCGUGGCUGACCGAGGACAGGACUUUUCAGCCUUGAGAGUUCAUCAUUGAUGCAGGGACCAGCACCUGCAGACAACAAACAACACUAUCAUCCCAACACAGUCAGAACUCAUUU